GUUCUCGUAGUUGAAGUCAACGGCGGUUUUUCAGGCCGCAAGUCUUGGAGAAAGGCCAAGCGGGAAUUGCC
rnacentral:tRNA from 3 species